CUCCAGAUGUUGCUGAACUACAACUCCCAUGAUUCUCAGUCUAUUCAUAGAAUCAUGGGAGUUGUAGUUCAGCAACAUCUGGAG